rnacentral:rRNA from 1 species
AACGAACGCUGGCGGAAUGCUUUACACAUGCAAGUCGAACGGCAGCACGGGGGCGAACCCUGUGGCGAGUGGCGAACGGGUGAGUAAUACAUCGGAACGUGCCCAAUCGUGGGGGAGUAACUACGCGAAAGCGUAGCUAAUACCGCAUACGAUCUACGGAUGAAAGCGGGGAGUCGCAAGACCUCGCGCGAAUGGAGCGGCCGAUGGCAGAUUAGGUAGUUGGUGUAGGUAACGGCNCACCAAGCCAACGAUCAGUAACUGGUGUGAGAGCACGACCAGUCACACGGGCACUGAGACACGGGCCCGACUCCUACGGGAGGCAGCAGUAAGGAAUAUUGGUCAAUGGAGGCAACUCUGAACCAGCCAUGCCGCGUGAAGGAUGAAGGUCCUCUGGA